CCUACGGGUGGCUGCAGUGGGGGAUAUUGCACAAUGGGGGAAACCCUGAUGCAGCGACGCCGCGUGUGGGAAGACGGUCCUCUGGAUUGUAAACCACUGUCCCCAGGGACGAAGAUGACGUUACCUGGGGAGGAAGCUCCGCCUAACUACGGCCAAGCAGCCGCGGGAAUAGGUAGGGAGCAACGGUUGUCCGGAAUUACUGGGUGUAAAGGGAGGGUAGGGGGGAUGGGAAGUUGGGUGUUAAAUCUACCGGCUAAACGGGUAGUCGCACUCAAAACUGCUAUUCUUGAGUGAAGUAGAGGCAGGCGGAAUUCCUAGUGUAGGGGUGAAAUGCGUAGAUAUUAGGAGGAACACCAGUGGCGAAGGCGGCCUGCUGGGCUUUUACUGACGCUGAGGCUCGAAAGUGUGGGGAGCAAACAGGAUUAGAUACCCCAGUAGUC
rnacentral:rRNA from 1 species